UCUAGAUAGACUAGAUCUUCUCUAUUUCUAUAGAAAAUUUUUUGUUUGUUUUAAAUUUGUGACUUUUUAAACUCAAUUAAAGUUCUGCACCUUUAUUUUGUAGAACGCGGAUUCGCAUUUCAUGUUUGAGAUUGCAUGUAAAACAUAUGACAUGUGGCAUGCAGACAAGUUUACUAGAUGGAUCUUUCAUCAUUUUGGAAAUACAAGAUGAGUUAAUAUUCCCUGUUUCUAUUUUGAAACAAAUCACAGAAACAUUCUACAAUUUUAUUUUAUAUAAUAAAUACCAAUAAAUGUAAAUACAAAAUCACA